UACGUAGGUGGCAAGCGUUGUCCGGAAUUAUUGGGCGUAAAGCGCGCGCAGGUGGUUUCUUAAGUCUGAUGUGAAAGCCCACGGCUCAACCGUGGAGGGUCAUUGGAAACUGGGGAACUUGAGUGCAGGAGAGAAGAGUGGAAUUCCAGGUGUAGCGGUGAAAUGCGUAGAUAUCUGGAGGAACACCGGUGGCGAAGGCGGCAUCCUGGACCAACACUGACACUGAGGAGCGAAAGCCAGGGGAGCAAACGGG
rnacentral:rRNA from 1 species